GGGGGGGAAUUGACAGUCUUGGGGGUGAGGAGAGGGGGGGGUCAUUUGGAGUGUGUCGGAUGAGCAGGGAGAGUGUGACAAGGUCUUGACAGGUUUGGUUAAGAGAGACUGUGUCUUCAAAGUUAAUCAAGUGAUCUCUGACACUGGAUUAGUUGCUGCUGUAGACCUUCUGGAUUAGGUGCUGCUGUAGGCCUUCUGGAUUAGGUGCUGCUGUAGACCUUCUGGAUUAGGUGCUGAUGUAGACCUUCUGGAUUAGGUGCUGCUGUAGUCCUUCUGGAUUAGGUGCUGCUGUAGACCUUCUGGAUUAGGUGCUGCUGUAGACCUUCUGGAUUAGGUGCUGCUGUAGACCUUCUGGAUUAGGUGCUGCUGUAGACCUUCUGGAUUAGGUGCUGUUGUAGACCUUCUGAAUUAGAUGCUGCUGUAGACCUUCUGGAUUAGGUGCUGCUGUAGACCUUCUGGAUUAGGUGCUGCUGUAGACCUUCUGGAUUAGGGGCUGCUGUAGACCUUCUGGAUUAGGUGCUGCUGUAGACCUUCUGGAUUAGGUGCUGCUGUCGACCUUCUGGAUUAGGUGCUGCUGUAGACCUUCUGGAUUAGGUGCUGUUGUAGACCUUCUGGAUUAGGUGCUGCUGUCGACCUUCUGGAUUAGGUGCUGCUGUAGACCUUCUGGAUUAGGUGCUGCUGUAGACCUUCUGGAUUAGGUGC
ensembl:lncRNA